rnacentral:rRNA from 1 species
UGGGGAAUAUUGGACAAUGGGUGAAAGCCUGAUCCAGCGACGCCGCGUGGGUGAAGAAGGCCUGCGGGUUGUAAAGCCCUUUCGGUGGGGAAGAAAUGCUUCGAGCUAAUACCUCGGGGCUUUGACGUAACCCACAGAAGAAGCACCGGCUAACUCUGUGCCAGCAGCCGAGGUAAUACAGAGGGUGCGAGCGUUAAUCGGAAUUACUGGGCGUAAAGCGCGCGUAGGCGGCUUUGCAAGCCGGAUGUGAAAUCCCCGGGCUUAACCUGGGAACUGCAUUCGGGACUGCAUUGCUAGAGUAUGGGAGAGGGAAGUGGAAUUUCAGGUGUAGCGGUGAAAUGCGUAGAUAUCUGAAGGAACAUCAGUGGCGAAAGCGACUUCCUGGACCAAUACUGACGCUCAUGUGCGAAAGCGUGGGGAGCAAAC